CUGGCGGACUGUCACUUUCGACCGGAGCCAAUCGAGCAUGACGUCAUAGUGUCCUCACCGAUAAAUGCUACACCGUGACGUCAUGCUCGAUUGGCUCCGAUCGAAAGUGACAGUCCGCCAGACUCUAACUAGACUGACUCUAGAGAAACCUACCCACCAGUCGCAAAGUUGGCAACCAUCCAUACACGCUAAGAUCAGUUUACCCAUAAAUAGGUAAUUUAUUUACCCAUAUAUGAGUUUUAUAUGCAUUACCUAUAUUAUGGGUAAAAUAUACUAAGAAAAAACAGUAAAGUCUACUCAUAUUAUGUGAAAACAGAGAUUACCUAAAUUUGGGUAAAGUGAUUUACCCAUAUUUGGAUGAAAAAUAUUCCUUGUUGGCAACAUCGCGAUAGAAAAAAAGAGUGACUACUGCCGACUCCACUAAUUUUCAAGUUUUCUAUCGAUAGACGAUCGUGCUCAAUAGCGAAUAGUGAAAAAAAUACGUUGCGGACUCAGGAAUAUAUUCUUGACAAAACCAUCAGCUUUCUCAGCGCAGGGAAAUUGGCAUAGGAAUAUUUGAACCGACGGAAGUGUUGUCAAUAUAUGGGAAGGCAAAUCAUCUAUGUCCAAGUCUAUGUCUCUUCCACACAAGAGGAGUUUCAGUAUGUGGCCACAAAUAGCGACAAGUAUGCCGAGAAUCCGUUGAAGAAUCCGUGAUAAGUUGGAACCUAGUGAGAAAAAGGAAAGGCUUCUACGACGAAACUGAGCAAUGUGGUUGAGGGGAGAAACUAUCUGGAAGUCGAGCUGGAAGUACCGCCGGAAAGAAGCAGGCGAAAUCAACAGAUGACGGUGGAACCGUGGAACUUCGAGGCAUUACAUCGGACCAAGCAUCGGACCGGAAUGUGCCAGCUAUUGCUUUGAAAGUUAUUGAACGUCAUAGGGUGGGGCACAGUUAGUGGCACUGGUAUCCAAUUAUAUGUUGAAUAAAUUAAGUGAUUUUUACCGU